UGAGUAUCCUGAGUAGGGCGGGGCCGGAGAAACCCUGUCUGAAUCUGCCAGCACCAUCUGGUAAGGCUAAAUACGCGCGAGAGACCGAUAGUGAACCAGUACUGUGAAGGAAAGGUGAAAAGAACCGCGAUGAGCGGAGUGCAAUAGACCCUGAAACCGUACGUCUACAAGCGGUGGGAGUGAAUAACGACCACGUGCCUUUUGCAUAAUGAGCCUACGAGUUAUAUCUGACUACCGAGUUUAAAAUCUUCAGGAUUGUAAGCGUAGCGAAAGCGAGUCUGAAUAGGGCGAUAGGUAGUUGGAAUAGACGCGAAACCGAGUGAUCUACCCUUGAGCAGGUUGAAGUCCCGAUAAUCUCGGGAUGGAGGACCGAACAGGUAAACGUUGAAAAGUUUUCUGAUGACUUGAGGGUAGGGGUGAAAGGCUAAUCAAACUCGGAGAUAGCUCGUACUCCCCGAAAUGCAUUUAGGUGCAGCGUCGAGGAAUGUUUGAUGGAGGUAAAGCUACCGAUAGGGCUAGGGGGUGUCACAGCCUACCAAACCCUGACGAACUCUGAAUGCCAUUAAAUAGUAUCGGCAGUGAGCCCCGGGGUGCUAAGGUCACGGGGCGAGAGGGGAACAACCCAGACUUGCAGCUAAGGUCCCUAAAUUAUGGUUAAGUUGAUAUAACGAUGUGAGGAUGCACAGACAGCCAGGAUGUUUGCUUGGAAGCAGCAAUUCAUUUAAAGAGUGCGUAACAGCUCACUGGUCGAGCGUUCUUGCGCGGAAAAUAAUCGGGCAUAAAACCAUAUACCGAAGCUCAAGAAUUAUAAAUUGGUAGGGGAGCAUUCAUACAGCGUUGAAGCGGUUCUGUGAGGAGUCGUGGAGUGGUAUGAAAAGCAAAUGUAGGCAUGAGUAACGAUAAUGCAGGUGAGAACCCUGCACGCCGUAAGACUAAGGGUUCCGUCGCCAUGUUAAUCAGCGACGGGUGAGUCGGGUCCUAAGGAUAAUCCGCAAGGAGAGGCCGAUGGCAAACGGGUUAAUAUUCCCGUACUUGUAAUGAAUGCGAAACGAUGACGGACGACCUCGGGUAUUGCGUGCUUACGGAAUAGCACGUUGAAGCGCAAGCGAUAGUACAGGUUUCUCCUCGGAGCGACUUGAUAAUGUACCAACGGUAGUUCCUAGAAAAGUCGAUAAGCUUCAGUUUAUUACAACCCGUACCGUAAACCGACACAGGUAGUCGAGGAGAGUAUCCUCAGGCGCUCGAGUGAUUCGUGGCUAAGGAACUAGGCAAACUGGUCUCGUAACUUUGGAAGAAGAGACGCUCUACAAAGAGCCGCAGUGAAGAGGCCCAGGCAACUGUUUAACAAAAACACAGGACUCUGCAAAAUCGAAAGAUGCAGUAUAGGGUCUGACACCUGCCCGGUGCUGGAAGGUUAAGGAAGGGGGUUAGCGCAAGCGAAGCUCUUGACUGAAGCCCCAGUAAACGGCGGCCGUAACUAUAACGGUCCUAAGGUAGCGAAAUUCCUUGUCGGGUAAGUUCCGACCUGCACGAAUGGUGUAAUGAUCUGGGCACUGUCUCAGCCACGAGCUCGGUGAAAUUGAAGCAUCGGUGAAGAUACCGAUUACCCGCAUCGGGACGGAAAGACCCCGUGAACCUUUACUAUAGCUUCACAUUGGAUUUGGAUACAAGAUGUGUAGGAUAGGUGGGAGCAAUUGAAGUGGCGCUGCUAGGUGUUGCGGAUGCGCCGUUGAAAUACCACCCUUUUUGUAUUUAGGUUCUAACUACUUCGGUAAGACAGUGUGUGGUGGGUAGUUUGACUGGGGUGGUCACCUCCCAAAGAGUAACGGAGGUUUGCCAAGGUUCCCUCAGCAUGGUUGGUAAUCAUGCGUAGAGCGUAUUAGUACAAGGGAGCUUGACUGAGAGAGCGACGGCUCGAACAGGUACGAAAGUAGGCUAAAGUGAUCCGGUAGUUCCGCAUGGAAGGGCUAUCGCUCAAAGGAUAAAAGGUACUCCGGGGAUAACAGGCUGAUCGCAUCCAAGAGCUCAUAUCGACGAUGCGGUUUGGCACCUCGAUGUCGGCUCGUCGCAUCCUGGGGCUGGAGAAGGUCCCAAGGGUUGGGCUGUUCGCCCAUUAAAGCGGCACGCGAGCUGGGUUCAGAACGUCGCAAGACAGUUCGGUCCCUAUCUGAUGUGGGCGCAGGAAUAUUGAGAAGAGUUGACUCUAGUACGAGAGGACCGAGUUGAACGAACCGCUAGUGUAUCUGUUGUGGCGCCAGCUGCAUCGCAGAGUAGCUAUGUUCGGACGGGAUAAGCACUGAAAGCAUCUAAGUGCGAAGCCUCCUUCAAGAUGAGUAUUCCAUUGA
rnacentral:rRNA from 1 species